rnacentral:rRNA from 1 species
UACGUAGAGUGCGAGCGUUAAUCGGAAUUACUGGGCGUAAAGCGUGCGCAGGCGGUUCGUUGUGUCUGAUGUGAAAGCCCCGGGCUCAACCUGGGAACGGCAUUGGAAACUGGCGGACUGGAGUGCGGCAGAGGGGGGUGGAAUUCCGCGUGUAGCAGUGAAAUGCGUAGAGAUGCGGAGGAACACCGAUGGCGAAGGCAGCCCCCUGGGCCGACACUGACGCUCAGGCACGAAAGCGUGGGGAGCAAAC